UACAGGAGGUCUCAAGCGUUGUUCGGAUUCAUUGGGCGUAAAGGGUGCGUAGGCGGCGCGGUAAGUCGGGUGUGAAAUUUCGGAGCUUAACUCCGAAACUGCAUUCGAUACUGCGGUGCUUGAGGACUGGAGAGGAGACUGGAAUUCAUGGUGUAGCAGUGAAAUGCGUAGAGAUCAUGAGGAAGACCAGUGGCGAAGGCGGGUCUCUGGACAGUUCCUGACAGCU
rnacentral:rRNA from 1 species